rnacentral:rRNA from 1 species
GACGAACGCUGGCGGCGUGCCUAACACAUGCAAGUCGAACGGAAAGGCCCUGCUUUUGUGGGGUGCUCGAGUGGCGAACGGGUGAGUAACACGUGAGUAACCUGCCCUUGACUUUGGGAUAACUUCAGGAAACUGGGGCUAAUACCGGAUAGGAGCUCCUGCUGCAUGGUGGGGGUUGGAAAGUUUCGGCGGUUGGGGAUGGACUCGCGGCUUAUCAGCUUGUUGGUGGGGUAGUGGCUUACCAAGGCUUUGACGGGUAGCCGGCCUGAGAGGGUGACCGGCCACAUUGGGACUGCGAUACGGCCCAGACUCCUACGGGAGGCAGCAGUGGGGAAUAUUGCACAAUGGGCGGAAGCCUGAUGCAGCAACGCCGCGUGCGGGAUGACGGCCUUCGGGUUGUAAACCGCUUUCGCCUGUGACGAAGCGUGAGUGACGGUAAUGGGUAAAGAAGCACCGGCUAACUACGUG